rnacentral:rRNA from 1 species
ACGGGUGAGUAAUGCCUAGGAAUCUGCCUAGUAGUGGGGGACAACGUUUCGAAAGGAACGCUAAUACCGCAUACGUCCUACGGGAGAAAGUGGGGGAUCUUCGGACCUCACGCUAUUAGAUGAGCCUAGGUCGGAUUAGCUAGUUGGUAGGGUAAAGGCCUACCAAGGCGACGAUCCGUAACUGGUCUGAGAGGAUGAUCAGUCACACUGGAACUGAGACACGGUCCAGACUCCUACGGGAGGCAGCAGUGGGGAAUAUUGGACAAUGGGCGAAAGCCUGAUCCAGCCAUGCCGCGUGUGUGAAGAAGGCCUUCGGGUCGUAAAGCACUUUAAGUUGGGAGGAAGGGCUCAUAGCGAAUACCUGUGAGUUUUGACGUUACCAACAGAAUAAGCACCGGCUAACUUCGUGCCAGCAGCCGCGGUAAUACGAAGGGUGCAAGCGUUAAUCGGAAUUACUGGGCGUAAAGCGCGCGUAGGUGGCUUGAUAAGUUGGAUGUGAAAUCCCCGGGCUCAACCUGGGAACUGCAUCCAAAACUGUCUGGCUAGAGUGCGGUAGAGGGUAGUGGAAUUUCCAGU